rnacentral:rRNA from 1 species
CCUACGGGAGGCAGCAGUGGGGAAUAUUGCGCAAUGGGCGAAAGCCUGACCCAGCGACGCAGCGUGAGGGAUGAAGGUCUUCGGAUCGUAAACCUCUGUCAACAGGGAAGAACGGUCACUGUGCUAAUCAGCAGUGAAUUGACGGUACCUGCAAAGGAAGCACCGGCUAACUCCGUGACAGCAGCCGCGGUAAUACGGAGGGUCCGAGCGUUAAUCGGAAUUACUGGGCGUAAAGGGCUCGUAGGCGGUAUGUCAAGUCAAGGGUGAAAUCCCCGCGCUCAACGUGGGAACUGCCGUUGAAACUGGCAAACUGGAGUGUGUGAGAGGAUAGGGGAAUUCGAGGUGUAGGAGUGAAAUCCGUAGAUAUCUGGAGGAACAUCAGUGGCGAAGGCGACUAUCUGGCACAUAACUGACGCUGAGGAGCGAAAGCGUGGGUAGCAAACAGGAUUAGAUACCCGGGUAGUC